rnacentral:lncRNA from 1 species
GUUGCUAUUACUGCUACAACUUCUACUACUACUACCGCUAAUAUUGCUACGACUGCUACAGCUACUAUCACUACUGUUGCUACUGCUGCUGCUACUGUUACUGCUAAUAUUGCUACUGUUGCUAUUAGUGCUACUGUUACUAAUACUGCUAUUACUAUUGUUUCUACUGUUACUACUACUACUACUUCUACUACAACUAAUACUACUUAUUUUUCUUUUUCU